GAUGAACGCUGGCGGCGUGCCUAAUACAUGCAAGUCGAGCGAACGGACGAGAAGCUUGCUUCUCUGAUGUUGGCGGCGGACGGGUGAGUAACACGUGGAUAACCUACCUAUAAGACUGGGAUAACUUCGGGAAACCGGAGCUAGUACCGGAUAAUAUUUUGAACCGCAUGGUUCAAAAGUGAAAGACGGUCUUGCUGUCACUUAUAGAUGGAUCCGCGCUGCAUUAGCUAGUUGGUAAGGUAACGGCUUACCAAGGCAACGAUGCAUAGCCGACCUGAGAGGGUGAUCGGCCACACUGGAACUGAGACACGGUCCAGACUCCUACGGGAGGCAGCAGUAGGGAAUCUUCCGCAAUGGGCGAAAGCCUGACGGAGCAACGCCGCGUGAGUGAUGAAGGUCUUCGGAUCGUAAAACUCUGUUAUUAGGGAAGAACAUAUGUGUAAGUAACUGUGCACAUCUUGACGGUACCUAAUCAGAAAGCCACGGCUAACUACGUG
rnacentral:rRNA from 1 species